UACAGAGGUCCCAAGCGUUGUUCGGAUUCACUGGGCGUAAAGGGUGCGUAGGCGGGUCUUUAAGUCCGGGGUGAAAUCCUGGAGCUCAACUCCAGAACUGCCUUUGAUACUGAGGAUCUUGAGUUCGGGAGAGGUGAGUGGAACUGCGAGUGUAGAGGUGAAAUUCGUAGAUAUUCGCAAGAACACCAGUGGCGAAGGCGGCUCACUGGCCCGAUACUGACGCUGAGGCACGAAAGCGUGGGGAGCAAACAGG
rnacentral:rRNA from 1 species